GAUGAACGCUGGCGGCGUGCCUAAUACAUGCAAGUCGAGCGAACAGACGAGGAGCUUGCUCCUCUGACGUUAGCGGCGGACGGGUGAGUAACACGUGGAUAACCUACCUAUAAGACUGGGAUAACUUCGGGAAACCGGAGCUAAUACCGGAUAAUAUAUUGAACCGCAUGGUUCAAUAGUGAAAGACGGUUUUGCUGUCACUUAUAGAUGGAUCCGCGCCGCAUUAGCUAGUUGGUAAGGUAACGGCUUACCAAGGCAACGAUGCGUAGCCGACCUGAGAGGGUGAUCGGCCACACUGGAACUGAGACACGGUCCAGACUCCUACGGGAGGCAGCAGUAGGGAAUCUUCCGCAAUGGGCGAAAGCAUGACGGAGCAACGCCGCGUGAGUGAUGAAGGUCUUCGGAUCGUAAAACUCUGUUAUUAGGGAAGAACAAAUGUGUAAGUAACUAUGCACGUCUUGACGGUACCUAAUAAGAAAGCCACGGCUAACUACGUG
rnacentral:rRNA from 1 species